CCAGCCUUAGAGGUGUUGCAGGUUUGGCUUCUGUGUCACUUGUGCAUUAGUAGGUGGCAGAGAGGAGAGAGAGGCUAUGUCUAUACUUGGUGUUAAGACAUAUGAACAUCUGAAUGAUUAGUAGCCUAACACU